rnacentral:rRNA from 1 species
ACUCCUACGGGAGGCAGCAGUGGGGAAUAUUGCACAAUGGGGGAAACCCUGAUGCAGCCAUGCCGCGUGUGUGAAGAAGGCCUUCGGGUUGUAAAGCACUUUCAGUAGGGAGGAAGGUAUGUAGUUACAUACCUGCAUUAUUGAUCGUUACCUACAGAAGAAGCAACCGGCUAACUCCGGUGCCAGCAGCCGCGGUAAUACGGAGGGUGCGAGCGUUAAUCGGAAUUACUGGGCGUAAAGCGCAUGCAGGCGGCCUGUUAAGUCAGAUGUGAAAG